rnacentral:ncRNA from 1 species
CCCAGGGUAAGUCGGGACCUAAGGCGAGGCCGACAGGCGUAGUCGAUGGACAACCGGUUGAUAUUCCGGUACCCGCUUUGAAACGCCCAAUAUCGAAUCCAUUAAUGCUAAGGCCGUGAAGCCGUUCCGGAGCCUUCGGGCAAAGGAAAGUGGUGGAGCCGCUGACCCAAGGUGGUAGUAGGUAAGCGAUGGGGUGACGCAGGAAGGUAGUCCAGCCCGGGCGGUGGUAGUCCCGGGGUAAGGGUGUAGGCCGUGUGAUAGGCAAAUCCGUCACACAUUAAGGCUGAGACCUGAUGCCGAGCCGAUUGUGGUGAAGUGGAUGAUCCUAUGCUGUCGAGAAAAGCCUCUAGCGAGUUUCAUGGCGGCCCGUACCCUAAACCGA